rnacentral:tRNA from 1 species
AUUCUUUUAGUAUACAAAAGUACUUUUGACUUCCAAUCAAACAGAUCAGAACAAACCUCUGAAAAGAAU